ACGGGAGGCAGCAGUGAGGAAUAUUGGUCAAUGGGCGGAAGCCUGAACCAGCCAAGUCGCGUGAAGGAUGAAGGUAUUAUGUAUUGUAAACUUCUUUAGCAGUGGAGUAAUAAGGGGAUCGUGAUCCCUGAUGCAAGUACACUGAAAAUAAGGAUCGGCUAACUCCGUGCCAGCAGCCGCGGUAAUACGGAGGAUCCGAGCGUUAUCCGGAUUUAUUGGGUUUAAAGGGUGCGCAGGCGGCUUUUUAAGUCAGCGGUAAAAUCGUGGGGCUCAACCCCAUCCUGCCGUUGGUACUGGAGAGCUUGAUUGCGGUUGAGGUUGGCGGAAUUCGUCGUGUAGCGGUGAAAUGCAUAGAUAUGACGAAGAACACCGAUUGCGUAGGCAGCUUACCAGACCGUUAAUGACGCUCAUGCACGAAAGUGCGGGGAUCGAACAGGAUUAGAUACCCUGGUA
rnacentral:rRNA from 1 species